rnacentral:rRNA from 1 species
UACGGGGGGGGCAAGCGUUGUUCGGAAUUACUGGGCGAAAAGGGCUCGUAGGUGGCCAACUAAGUCAUACGUGAAAUCCCUCGGCUUAACCGGGGAACUGCGUCUGAUACUGGAUGGCUUGAGUUUGGGAGAGGGAUGCGGAAUUCCAGGUGUAGCGGUGAAAUGCGUAGAUAUCUGGAGGAACACCGGUGGCGAAGGCGGCAUCCUGGACCAACACUGACACUGAGGAGCGAAAGCCAGGGGAGCAAACGGG